rnacentral:misc_RNA from 1 species
GCAAAAAAUCAAGAGCCUGCAGGCAGAUGCUAAUUAUAGGUGUUCUUAUAUUCUCUUAUCAGUUUUUGAAGUCACUUACAUUACAUUGGCAAUACACAUAAACAAUGUAGGCAAUUACAACUUCUCAAUCUCAUGCUCCUUAUCAAUUAAUUAAAUUAAAUCUCCCCACAGUCAACUAUUUGAAUUGUUUCUACAUUAAUGGAAUUAUAUGCAAUUUAAUUGACUUGCAUAGCUAGCAACUGUUAGGUUCUUUGUAACAUUCAGCAGCAGAAACACCUGACAGGAUUCUUGCCUUUCCUUCGCAUGUACUUUGCCUUUUCUUUCACUUCAGCUUCUUCAUUUCUCCUUUUCUCCUCUAAUUGUGCUCUUGCUCCUCCAACAAUCGCAUCAAUUCUCUCUACAUUGAUUUGGUAAUGCUGCAAGUUUCUUGACUUUCUCAGCUCCAGUUCAUUCUGCAGGUCCAGCAUUCAGGAGAGUUACUUACUAAACAUUUUCCUUUCUCGAAGUUGAUCACACAAAAAGUCAAGGGUAAACCUUUUUCCUUUCCAUGUGGAGUUUGGCUUCCAUCUUCUUUUCAUUCUCCCAAGCAAAAACUUUUGAUUUCUUCUUCUCAUACCUGAAGUUUUAAUUUAUUAUCAAACACAAAAAUACUAAAACCAGCAUCCAAAACGAUGAAAAAUACAUGAAACAUUGAAAAAAAAAAUGUGCUUCAAAAACGGUUAUUAUAUGGUGUUCGGUUUGAACUACUUUGCCAUUUCAUUUCAAAUAGCCAAUAUCACCUCUUAUUGAUCUUCCGUAAUUGAGCCUUCUCCCAAGAAUCAAUUUUGGAUUCCACAACUUCGCUUCUUGUUGAAGUGCCCUUCCGCCUUUGAUCUGUUGAGGCCAUAGGUUUUGUAGAGGCUAAACGACUAGGUUUUCUGGCAGGCAUAAAGGUGCCUUGUACCCUAUGAUCCUGCUCUGCUGGAUUUCGGAUUGAAGAUUCACCUGCAUGUUUCACUUCCUUGCUAGAUGAUGGUCUAGUUACUCUAACAGAACCAGCUGAGCUAUCCUCUUUUCUAGUUCUGAUUUCUGUUUUUGACUUCCCAAAGUCCCCUCUGAUCUUUCUCCUGUAUUCCUCUCCUGCUUCUUCCAGAGUGUAAAUAGCAAAUGCAGUAGCAGCCACAGCAGCUGCAAACUCACUAUCAUACUCCCAACUCAUCUGCCUAUAAAGCUGCUUUUGGAACCAGUUCUGACCUUUAUCUCUUUUGAAGAAUUCUGUAUUCUGAGCACUGCUAGAGUCCUCCUGUUCUGGACCAGAGAAUCUCACUCUACCAAGACAGCAAGUAGAUACUUCAAUCAAGAAGAAGAAGAAGAAUAUUUCUGGAAAGAUGGCUGAUAUGAAGAGGGUUUUCGCUUCCAAUUUUAGUGCAACUUUCUGCUAAUUAAAUCUUCUCUAAGAUGUAGGAAUCCUUGCCUCUUUUGCUUUAGUAAAUACUCCAUGCGCUCGUCAAUUUCUUGUCUGAUAUUUUUUCCAGCCUUUUUUCAGGUGGGAAAUUGUUUGAUUGCUGAGAAACUAGAAUAAAAGGCCUGGGAAGGAUGUCCUGAGACUCUUAUAAGGACUUUAGCCCAUGAUCAGGAGACUGGUGCAAGCAAAGAUGAAUAUGCUUUGCAAUUUGUACGAAGCAUAUUUAAGCUUUUGAGGGAAGCAAAGGAUCUUUACCCCUUUCCAUGCACCAACUGUCAAGUUGUUUCCCAUUUCUAACUCCUCUUUUUCCCUGUCUUCACUGAAAUGAAUAAUCAAUUGCAAGUAAUAGUGCUUUUGAAGGUUGAGUUGGUGAAAAUUUAGGGGUUAUCUGUGUAACCAAACUGUUCCUUCAUAAGGUGGAGAAAUGGCAGGUACGCCAUCUGAAAAUGGAAUGUCCAAUUUGGCAGGUCACUGAGCUGGUGAUCUUUGAUACCUUGUCCAUUUUGAACUAUACUGGGUUGCUUUGCUGUGAGGGUUACCCCUUGUUGAGCAAGAGCAGCAAUUUUUUUACACCAGGAGAGCUUAUCUGCUAUUGAUCUUCAAAAUGAGGAAAUCUUUUUGUGAAUAAUAUUAGUUGUAUAGCUUGUAGAAAUCUAUAAUAAACAAGCUUGUACUUGGCUUAAAUCUAAGAAAGGCAAUAACAGUUUAAAAAAUUCAAACAACUCCUGGAAAGUAUUCCAAAUUUUCUACGAUCCUCCUGGAGAGAGUUGCAACAUCUGAUGUUCUGCAGGAAAAGUAUACUCUACUCACCUGGCCUGCUGUCGGCUACCAUCCCUGGCUAUCCUUUAAUGAACCAAAAACAGGGACGAGAGUUAAA